AGCACUGCAUGGUAUCUGCAUCCAGCAGCCUUUUCCUGCUGGGGUGUUCAAAGGACAGUGCAAUAGAAAUUCAGUAUCUGGCAUCGUUGGUUUUCUUGGCUUUGUGCAUGUUAAACCUGGUAUUUCUAUUGAUACAGUU
ensembl:snoRNA